AAUGGUGCUGCCCAAAUUCAAGUGAAGUCUUCCCUGCUCAGUUAAACCUUUCUGGAAACAUCCCUAAAGAUGCGCCCAAGAUCAGCAGAUACGUUGGAUAUAAUUCGUCAAAGUGGUUGGGAGCUGUGAAGCCCUCAUGCAUCAGCACUGAGACACCCUGUCACAAAGCCUUCGCAGUGUGACGAACCACAGCAAAGCGGGUCUAAUGACCAGGCAAUGAGGGCUACAGCUGGGGACCAAGGAUGUGCACGGGCAGAGCUCACUCAGCUUCCUUUCUUUACAACCUUCCUGGGUCCUACCCUCCUUAACACAGUUUAGGGGAUCUUGGCCAUCAGACCCCCAUACUCC
rnacentral:lncRNA from 1 species